rnacentral:lncRNA from 1 species
CCUGAUCUCCGAGUUACUCUUUCCAAAUUGUCUUCUGACACUGUUGCUGAAGUCACUCUGUACACACCCUCCACACCGAUUUUUUUGCCAAGCUCUUACAGGUGGUUCAUCGAUCGAUGGCAUCCGCAUUUGGUAUCUUUUACACUUCAACCAAAAAUUUAUUAGGUAUUUUUCAAUGCUAAGUCUUGCCUUUUGUUUUUUAAUUUCACUGCCGAGUUUGCAGUGAUUCUAAGUGAAUCUGUGGGCAUUUUAGCCUGUGGUCUUGCCAGAUCUUUGCGAAUUACAAUGCAUAUAUGUCUAUUUAUUCAAUAUCUGUCAUAUAAUAUCUAUUUGGAAGAAGAAACUUUCUCUUGUAGUGCCUCUUGACAAAGCACAAUUUCCCGCCUUUUUUUUUUUUUUGUGAAAUGAAGAAAAAAAAAACAAAUUGUGUUUUAUUGCAGUAUCAAUAAUGUGAAUAAGGAUUAACAUAUUGUAAAUGUUCUUUUUUCCAUGUAAAUCAACUAUCUUUGUUAUCACUAAGUGAUAAUUUUUAACUUAUGUGCAUUGUUAGGCUGUUAGAAUUUUUUGGUUGUUAAAUAAAACGCAUUCAAUAAAUCUG